AGGUCUAGUAUAUUUAAGUCUCCCAAACAAAGUUUGGAGACUUAUUGUUUUUGGUCAGUUCUUAUUAUGGCACCCUCAACGGAGUUGGGGUGACAUAUUGUUAUUCUACGUUUCUUUUUUUUUUUUUUAUGUCACCCGAUCGACAAUGUCGGGUGACAUAUUGCUUUUCCUCUGUUUCUUUUUCUGUAUUAUUAUGGCACCCUCAACGGAGUUGGGGUGACGUAUUGUUAUUCUACGUUUCUUUUUUUUCUUAUUAU
rnacentral:lncRNA from 1 species